rnacentral:rRNA from 1 species
AGAUAAUAGAUACCCGGGUAGUCCACGCCGUAAACGGUGGGUGCUAGGUGUAGGGGGUAUUCCACGCCCUCUGUGCCGCAGCUAAACGCAUUAAGCACCCCGCCUGGGGAGUACGGCCGCAAGGCUAAAACUCAAAGGAAUUGACGGGGGCCCGCACAAGCAGCGGAGCAUGUGGCUUAAUUCGACGCAACGCGAAGAACCUUACCAAGGCUUGACAUGCAGGGAAAUCUCCCAGAGAUGGGAGGUCCGCAAGGGUCCUGCACAGGUGGUGCAUGGUUGUCGUCAGCUCGUGUCGUGAGAUGUUGGGUUAAGUCCCGCAACGAGCGCAACCCUCGUUCUAUGUUGCCAGCGGUUCGGCCGGGGACUCAUAGGAGACUGCCGGGGUCAACUCGGAGGAACGGUGGGGACGACGUCAAAUCAUCAUGCCCCGUUAUGUCUUGGGCUGCACACAUGCUACAAUGGCCGGUACAAAGGGCUGCUAAACCGCGAGGUGGAGCGAAUCCCAAAAAGCCGGUCUCAGUUCGGAUU